UUCAUAUCAGUUGCAGCGGUUCCUGUCUGCGUGGCACCAAAAGCUAUUCAGGCUAACAGCACCGCAGCUCGGCAGCAGGACGCCGAAGCGCUGAAAAGUAUGAGGGAGCCAUCGCCAAACACGGGAUCCAGAGUUUCUCUUUUAUGACCAAGUUCUCAGAUCAUAGGGCGGGAAGAAGCUUUGAAUGCUGGCUCUGCACAGAAUGGGAGUCAUUUACAAAGCAGAACCUGGCCAUAAGCCCUCGGUGGAAGCUCUCUCUACUGCCCUUCAGACAGAGCAAGCGGAGCUCAUCAAUACCAAAACCAGAAGAUGGCAUCUUACUUUUAAUGUGAAGACCUGAAAAUAAACCCAGUGAAUUCACCCGGAGGAAGUUCAGUGUGAAUAUUCCCUUCCUCUCUGUCACAAGCUUCACCAACCAGAGCCAGGUGUACCCAGAUGCACAUGCCACCACCUCAGGCCUCCGCACACACAGACCUCGCUGUCAAGCAAUAAUUAGGACAGGUAGGGCAGGAAUUGAAGAGCCUCCCUGACUCACACUUAGCCUUAAUGUCUUCCUCUAGCCCACCUUUACCUGGACUCAUCUUUAAAUUAAUCAUCUCCCAAAUGAUGCUGUUUGA